CUCGUUUAGAAGCUAAAAUAACAUUUUAAAAUAAAAUAACGGACAGGAAGAAAUUGGGAGUGAUUUGGGGGCUGGAUACCCAGCAGGACAGGCCACACUGUCUCCCAGCCUGUUUGGGUAUUUCUGCCUUCAGUCAGAAGAUGCAACCUUUUUCCUGUCAAGAGCCAGAUAGUAAAUAUUUUCAGCUUUGCAGCUGGGCCAUCUCUGAGGCAGCUGCUCAACUGUGCCGCUGGAGCAGGAAGGCGUCCAGAGACAACAUGUAAUCCAACAUGCGUGGCUGGGACCCAAUAAAGCUCUAUUUACAAAAACAGGCAUCCCGCCAGAUGUGGCUCGGAGGCGCUAGUUUGCCCACUCCGCUCUAGAUGAAUGCACAAAUUCAGUAAAGCCAACACGUGCCUUGUCCCUUGGCAGGAGGCACCUUGCACCACUGAAGCGAUGCUUUGGGGGCCUCACACCUCGCAGCUUCUGAGAGACGGGCAGGAAGUUUCUGCUAUCCUCCCUUCCUUGGUGCGGAGAAGAGCUUGCUUACCUGUGACAUGCAGCUGUUUGUUUUGUUUCCUCGAUGUGGCCAGUGUUUAAUCUGGAUUAAGUUUACGGCAAUGUGUUAAGCCCACCCCACCACCCCACCAGAUCUCUCUAGUGUAACUUGCAACCCACGAAGGACCUACUUUGGGCUGUGGUGGGAGAUGAUAUUUUCAUGGAUUCCAUUUAAAUGUACCUAUCAGUAGCAGUCAGAAUCUCGGUUGCGAGCAACAGAAACUGCCCUUGACCGUGAGAAACAGAAACUGCCCUUGACCGUGAGAAACAGAAAACAGAUGGUGUCAGCAGGCUAGGCCAGUGGCUUUGGGGAUAAGAUGACCUCUACCCCCACCCCUGUCCCUGGGCCUCCUGAUUCGUAGUCAAAGCACCGGGGACAGGCUCUUUCAGGCAGUGAGAGCCACAUGCUGCCUCCUGGUGGCCGCAGAGGUGGGGAGAGGGAAUAUGGGUGAGAAUAUGCCACCACCUCCCCCCAAAUCACACAUCAGAGGAAACGAGAUUGCCCCAAAGCAAGAUCAGGUUACAAAAAGGAAGAAGAUAGCCCCAAACACUGUGUCCACUGCAACACAGGUGCACCGAGCAUUGACCCACACACCUGAAUUUCAUAGUUUAGCUGCAUGGAGAGGGUAAAAUCAAUUCUGAGAAGAAAGAAGGGAAGGGCUGUGAUGAAGGUCACUGCACCAGGAGAAGGGAGUCUUCCCUGAGCAAACGUCCACUUCCCCAGUCCUGGCCUGUCACCCUGUCUCGGCUCCUACAUGACACAGACUCAUCACCUGGUGUUAGGUCAAACUCUGGGACCCACCCGGUGGUGACCCAUCAUUGAUAUUAAUUUAGUGAGUCACAACGUCAGUUUUGAAAAAAAGAACAAAAUAGAAUAAAAUGAAAAAAAUGCAAAAGAUGAGAGAGACUUGCACAUCGUAAGAGAAAGUGAUGCUUCGAUUUCCAAUGUGCAUGCUCAUUUGGGAUCACAACGCAAAAUAAAUUUGUUACUGUUGGGUGUAGUCAAAAAGUAUGAAGUCCACUAGUCUAGAUCAUGACUCACACUGUAGGAGUUGGCUCAGGCUGUCAUAAAAAAUACCGCAGACUGAGUGGCUUUAACAACAGACAUUUAUUUUCUCAACUUUCUGGAGGCUGGAAGUCCAAGAUCAAGGUGUUGGCACAGUGGGUUCCUUCUGAGGCCUCUCUCCUGGGUUUGUAGAUGGCUGUCUCCUGUCUGUGUCUUCACAUCAUCUUCCCUCUGUGUCUGGGUCCAAAUUUCCUUUCUUAUAGGACAUCAGUCAUAUUGGAUUAGGGCCUAUCCCAGUGAUAUGGUUUGGAUCUGUGUCCCCACCAAAUCUCAUGUUGAAUUGUAAUCCCCAGUGUCGGAGAUGGGCCUGGAGCAAGGCAAUUGGAUCAUGGAGGCCGAGUUCACGAGUGGUUUAGCAACUUCCCCUCGGUGCUGUUCUCGUGACAGUGAGUGAGUUCUCCUGAGAUCUGGUUGUUUAAAAGUGCGUUGCACCUCACUCUCCCUCUUGUUCCUGCUUUUGCCAUGUGAACUUUAUUUUAUUUUUUUUUUUUUGAGAUGGAGUCUCGCUCUGUCACCCAGGCUGGAGUGCAGUGGUGUGAUCUUAGCUCACUGCAACCUCCACCUCCUGGGCCCAAGUGAUUAUACUGCCUCAGUCUCCUGAGUAGCUGGGUUUACAGGUGUCUGCCAUGAAGCCCGGCUAAUUUUUGUAUUUUUAGUAGAAACGGGGUUUCACCAUGUUGGCCAGGCUGGUUUUGAACUCCCAACCUCAGGUGAUCCGCCUGCCUUGGCCUCCCAAAGUGCUGGGAUUCCAAGCAUGAGCCACUGUGCCCGGCCAACCAUGUGAACUUUCUAUUCCCACUUUGCCUUCCACCAUGAGUUAAAGCUCCUUAAGGCCUCCCUAAAAGCAGAUGUCACAGCGAUUUCUGUAUAGCCUGUGGAACUGUGAGC
rnacentral:lncRNA from 10 species